rnacentral:snRNA from 1 species
GUGCUCACUUUAGCAGCACAUAUUCUAAAAUCAACAAUACAGAGAAGAUUUUUGUGACCUCUGUACAAGGAAGCGUACAAACAGAAGCAUAGAAGUUAGCAAGAAUUUU